CCUGAGCCGAAACCAGGAGUCGGAUGCCCAACAGACUGAGCCACCCAGGCGCCCUACUGGGCAGACCUGGAAGACUUGGAUUGCCCUGCUAGGUUGGGGCCUGCCCACCGACCGGGGAGCCAGCCAAAUGCAGCACCUGGGAGCCUGUGGUGCAGCCUGUCUGCAGGGUGAGCGACUGUUGCCAGUUGAGAGCUGCCACGUCAGAGUCAGAAAGCGUUUCAGCGGGCGGUCUCCCUCUACCUGGAGGUUGUACAGACAGACUUGGACUCUUAAUGUGGUGGAAGUUUUUCGGUAUUGGCCCCGAUAAUCUGCCUAAUUUAUAUUCCUGUAUUAGAAAAAUGCAUGUAUUUCACCCAGAAUAUAGUGCUAUAAGUAUGUGGACUGCC